CUGCACACUAUGUUGAUGCAGAUUGGAAUUUACGUAAGACUAUAUUACACUUUGGUCACCUUCCUCCCCCCCAUACCGGUUUGCCUAUUUCAGACUGUGUAUACAAUUGUCUUCAGGAGUGGGGUAUCGAAAGUAGGAUAUCUUCAAUGAUGCUAGAUAAUACUUUUACAAAUGAUGUUGUGAUUUCUUUUUUGCAGAGCCAAUUCAAGACAGGUGGGAAUCUUUAUUUUGGGGGAAAAAUUUUUCAAGUGAAAUGUUGUGCUCACAUUCUAAAUAUAAUUGUGCAAGAGGGGCUAAAAAUAAUUGAAGACACAAUUGAGAACAUAAGAGAAAGCAUGAAGUAUAUACGGGGGUCACCAUCAAGACUUAGCAUCUAUAAUGACAUACUCGAACAUUUAAAUGUUGGAACUCAAAAAACAUUGAAGUUAGAUGUAUGCACCUGUUGGAAUUCAACAUAUGAAAUGUUGGAUGCAGCAAUGGAGUUGAAAAAUGCAUUCCCAAAAUUUGUAGUUCGUGAUAAGACAUAUGCUUGGUUACCUAGUGUAGCCGAUUGGAGAAGAGCUGAAGGGGUUCAUAGUUUUUUUUCGAAUUUACUAUGACUGCACGAAGUUAUUUUCGAGAAAUAAAUAUCCAACAGUAAAUCUGUUUCUUCCAAAGCUUUGGAAGAUUAAGGAUGUUCUUCAAAGAAGUGUCACAAUAGGUCCAAAUUAUAUUCUGAACAUGUCGCUAAGCAUGUAGAUGAAAUUAGAAAAGUACUGGACCGAAUGUCACCUAUUGAUGGCUUUAGCUAUUGUAUUUGAUCAUUGCUGCAAAAUAGGAAUGGUUAGUUACGUUUACAAGAAGAUUUAUCCAUGUGACAAGGCUGUCAUUGAAACAUCUUAUGUUCGUGUGGCAAUUGAAGAAUUGUACUCUUCUUAUGUAGGUAAUUCUUCCAGAAGUCAGGACACUCAAGUUAUGAAUGAACGCGGCUCCAGUUCGGCUAUAGGUGAUGAAAUUUUUUUCGAUGAGUACUUCUCAGCCUUAUAACAAGAUGAAGCGAGUCAGCAAACAAAUGAGUCAGAAUUAGAAGUAUAUCUCAAGAAGCCAGUCGUGAAGGCCUCCAGCCCAAACUUUGACGUUUUAGAUGGGUGGAAGACUAGAGCUCGUGAAGGAAAAUACACUACACUGUUGUUGAUCGCUUGAAAUAUUUUAUCAAUUCCGAUAACAACAGUGGCAUCAAAGUCUGCAUUCAGCACUGGUAGUAAGGUAGUGAACAAGUAUAGAAGCUCUCUUGCACCCAAAACAACUGAAGCGCUCGUUUGUAUGCAAGAUUAGUUACGUCCAGUUUAGGGUGACAGUUCAUUUGUUGAAGAGAAUGAUGAAGAGGACGAGGCCGAGAGUCUACACAAGGCUAGCAGUACCCCUUCAUAUGUUUAACUAGGAGGACUUUCUGCAAUAUAUCUGGAACAGGAUGUGUGUGAUUGCGGCUGAACUGAAUCGAAGAAGGAUGUGAGUAUGCUGCAUUUCUAUAUGUGAAAAAAAUACUUUGAUUCUUAAUUGUAGUUCAUUGUGACUGAUACAGUUAACUGUUGGAACGUAGGUACUGCUGGAAUGAGUGGUUAUGAUGAUUUUAAUAGCUUUAUAUGUA